UUUUUUUUCUUCUUCUUAUUCUUCUUGUUCACUAACAUAUGAUUACAUGCAGACAGACUACAUGGAAAGAGAACUACCCCAGAUAGUCACCUUAAUGUUAAAAGCGUGCGUAUUGCUUGCCUUGGUGCCAUUUAUUUGCAAUAGUCAAGCCAAUUCAGAACAACUAGAUAAACCUGUUUCAAGAGAAAUUGCUAACAAGGAAAAUCCAGGUUUUAUAAGCAUUGACUGUGGAUCAAUAAUAGAUUACUUGCAAGAGGAUACCGGAAUUUGGUAUAAGACAGACAAAGGGUUUGUGGAAACAGGAGAGAAUCAUGUGACUUCAUCCAUUAUCAACUUAAACUAUCUUUAUUUUGGGAAACAAUUAACCACAUUGAGAUGUUUCCCAGAAGGAGAUAGAAACUGCUAUACAUUGAAACCUAAAGAGGGCAAAAACAAAAAGUAUAUGAUUCGUGCUUUUUUCUCAUAUGGAAACUAUGACGGAAAAAAUCAAACACAAUCUUUUGAACUGUAUCUUGGAGUUAAUCUUUGGAAAAAAAUCAAUUUCACUAAUACUGAUCAUUACACUUUUACGGAGAUCAUUCACACUCCUUCAACUGACACUAUAAAUGUGUGCCUUGUAAAGACUGGACCAAUAAUCCCUUGCAUUUCCUCAUUGGAAUUGAGACUUUUGAACAAUUCAAUUUAUCAGAAUCAUCAGAUGAUCUCCACCAAUGAUCCAGAACCACUGUUGGAAUCACAAGCUAGGAUUGAUGUUGGCCCGUCACCCUGUUUAGCCAAACACUCUAGGUAUAAAGAUGAUGUGUAUGAUCGGAUAUGGAUUUGCGACCAACACUUGUACAAAAAUAACAGUUGGUAUCCGUUUGGUUUGGAAGAGUCAAUAAAUAUGGAUACUGCAACAAAUAGUGAUGCUUAUAAAUUACCGGCCAAAGUAUUGAGGAAUGUAGCCCAGUCAAAAAAUGUUUCACGGCCCUUGGGAUUUAUCUACCAAUAUACAUAUACUCCUCUAGACUUUAAUUAUGAUUAUUAUGUCUACUUUCACUUCAAUGAAAUUGCGAAAUUUUCAGAUGGGAAAAAAAGAAAAAUAAAUAUCACUGUUUCACGGCCCUUGGGAUUUAUCUACCAAUAUACAUAUAUUCCCGUGCUUUCACAACCUUUAGUUCUUGAUUACUUGAAACCUGUUACACUCAACUUCACAACUCAAGGUAAUGUUUGGUUUAACAUUAGCGCAACCUCGGAUUCGGAUGCUCCUCCUAUACUCAAUGCCUUCGAGAUCUAUAAGCUCAUGACUCAACUUGAUUCACCAACAUCCCCUCAAGAUGUUGGUGCAAUAAUGGAUAUCAAAAGCUCCUAUCAAGUCUAUAAAUUGAAUUGGCAAGGAGACCCGUGUCUUCCUACGCAAUAUAGAUGGGAAGGUCUUGUUUGUAAGGGUGACACCAUUCCAAGGAUCACAUCUUUGAACCUGAGCUCAAGCAAACUAACUGGGAAGAUAAACAUUUCAUUCUCAUAUCUUACAGAACUAGAAUUUCUGGAUUUGUCGUACAAUGAAUUGGAAGGACCUUUGCCAGAAUUUCUAGCACAUUUGCCAAAUUUAAAAGUUCUCAAUCUAACGGGAAACAAGCUUUCUAGUCCAAUUCCUAAGGAUCUCAAGCAAAAGGCAGACAAUAAAACGUUGGAAUUAAGUGUGGCUGGAAAUCCUGAUCUUUGUAUGACGGGUUCAUGCAAAAAGAAGAACAUUGUUGUACCACUUGUUGCAUCAUUUUCAGCAUUAUUUCUAAUCAUCUUGAUCAUCUCUCUUGGAUUUCGCAUAUUCAAAAGACAAAAAGCUUUAUAUAUUCAUGUAGUUCCACCUGCACGUUUUAAUUCUAAGAAGAGGGGUUCCCUAAAAUCAAAACAUCACGCAUUCAGUUACAAUGAAAUUCUCAAUAUUACUGAUAACUUCAAAACUAUAAUUGGAGAAGGAGGAUUUGGAAAAGUUUACAUUGGCAUUUUACAAGAUCACACUCAAGUAGCUGUAAAAAUGCUUUCAACUUCAUCGAAGCAAGGUUAUAAGGAAUUUCAAUCAGAGGUGCAACUUUUAAUGAUUGUUCAUCAUAGGAAUUUGGUCUCUCUCAUUGGAUAUUGUGAUGAAGGUGAAAUCAAAGCACUGAUUUAUGAGUACAUGACGAAUGGAAAUCUCCAACAAUAUUUAUUAGUGGAAAAUUCAAAUAUCAUAAAUUGGACUAAGAGACUUAAAAUUGCAGUUGAUGCAGCACAUGGAUUGGAUUAUCUGCAUAAUGGGUGCAAACCACCUAUUAUUCAUAGAGAUUUGAAGUCUUCCAACAUAUUACUCGAUGAGAACUUACAUGCCAAGAUUGCUGAUUUUGGUCUAAGUAGAGCUUUUGGUAAUGAUAAUGAUUCUCAUAUAUCCACGCGCCCUGCUGGUACAUUUGGUUACGUUGAUCCACAAUUUCAAAGAACAGGAAACACAAAUAAGAAAAAUGAUAUCUACAGCUUUGGAAUUAUUCUAUUUGAGCUGAUCACUGGCAAGAAAGCACUCAUAAAAGCACCUGAUGAAACCAUUCACAUACUUCAAUGGGUUAUUCCAUUAAUAAAAGGUGGAGAUAUUCAAAACAUUAUUGAUGCGAGGUUACAAGGUGAAUUCAACAUCAAUUCUGCAUGGAAAGUUGUUGAGGUAGCCAUGUCAUGCAUUUCACAAAUUGCAGCUGAAAGGCCAGACAUAAACCAAAUAUUGGUAGAGCUAAAGGAAUGUCUGUCUUUGGAGAUAGUUCAGAGAAAUAGUGGAAGUGCAAGAGAUAUAAUUGAAUUGACGACAUUAUCUACUGGACCAGAAAUCACUCCGUCAGCUAGGUAACCACUGCAUGAUUAAUUAUCUCUUCGUGUGACCUCGAACGUCCAAGUAUAUUACUCUUAAUCUAUAUGAUAUGUAAUAUAACAAUUUUUAUUUUGGAAGUUUGCCGGGAACAAAAAGAGUUGUGUGACAACUACUAUGCUAAAUGCAUCACACAGUGGAAGAGGCACAACAAAUACCUUAUCUUGAGAACUUUUCGCUCCAACGUAUGAUCCAUGUUUCAAAAAAUGGUGUAUAGAGUUUAGAGGGAGAGCUCCCUGAAUCCGCAACCAAGCUGCUACUCCAUGCCAUAUACUAUAAUAAAAAGAGCACUAAAAAAAUAUGUUUCAAAGACAUUGAAAGAGAAAACGCAUGAAGUCCCUCUAACCGUAUCAACCACUCCAAGAGUAGCUAGAGCAGAUCUAGUGUGCAACAUGUCAUGAAAAAUUAUCUAUUCAAUUAAAACAGGGACCUUUGAUGGAACCUCACAACACUAAACACCUGUAAAAAUCUUGCUCAUAUCUCGAUUAAUGACUGUUGAAUAUUUUGCAUGAA